AACGAACGCUGGCGGCAGGCCUAACACAUGCAAGUCAAGCGAGGACUUCGGUCCUAGCGGCGGACGGGUGAGUAACGCGUGGGAACGUGCCCUUUGCUACGGAAUAGCCCCGGGAAACUGGGAGUAAUACGGUAUGUGCCCUUCGGGGGAAAGAUUUAUCGGCAAAGGAUCGGCCCGCGUGGGAUUAGGUAGUUGGUGGGGUAAUGGCCUACCAAGCCGACGAUCCAUAGCUGGUUUGAGAGGAUGAUCAGCCACACUGGGACUGAGACACGGCCCAGACUCCUACGGGAGGCAGCAGUGGGGAAUCUUAGACAAUGGGGGAAACCCUGAUCUAGCCAUGCCGCGUGAGCGAUGAAGGCCUUAGGGUUGUAAAGCUCUUUCAGUGGGGAAGAUAAUGACGGUACCCACAGAAGAAGCCCCGGCUAACUCCGUGCCAGCAGCCGCCGUAACAC
rnacentral:rRNA from 1 species